ACAUUAAGAAAAAAAAAAAGCCAAAGGGAAAGAAGAAUAACUACAAAGGCCAGUGGUCCAUAAGGAUCUAGAUACAUUUUUAAUAUAGUACUGGAUUAUCUGAAACAUCAGAAAAAGUAAAGAUAAUUUUUGAGGAAAAAUAUAAGGCACUGUUCUAGGCACG